rnacentral:rRNA from 1 species
GGACUCAUAUUGAAACCUAGUGAUGUAUGAGUUAGUGGCGGACGGGUGAGUAACGCGUGGAGAACCUGCCGUAUACUGGGGGAUAACACUUAGAAAUAGGUGCUAAUACCGCAUAAGCGCACAGCUUCGCAUGAAGCAGUGUGAAAAACUCCGGUGGUACACGAUGGAUCCGCGUCUGAUUAGCUAGUUGGCGGGGUAAAGGCCCACCAAGGCGACGAUCAGUAGCCGGCCUGAGAGGGUGAACGGCCACAUUGGGACUGAGACACGGCCCAAACUCCUACGGGAGGCAGCAGUGGGGAAUAUUGCACAAUGGGGGAAACCCUGAUGCAGCGACGCCGCGUGAGUGAAGAAGUAUUUCGGUACGUAAAGCUCUAUCAGCAGGGAAGAAAAUGACGGUACCUGACUAAGAAGCCCCGGCUAACUACGUGCCAGCAGCCGCGGUAAUACGUAGGGGGCAAGCGUUAUCCGGAUUUACUGGGUGUAAAGGGAGCGUAGACGGCAGCGCAAGUCUGGAGUGAAAUCCCAUGGCUUAACCAUGGAACUGCUUUGGAAACUGUGCAGCUAGAGUGCAGGAGAGGUAAGCGGAAUUCCUAGUGUAGCGGUGAAAUGCGUAGAUAUUAGGAGGAACACCAGUGGCGAAGGCGGCUUACUGGACUGUAACUGACGUUGAGGCUCGAAAGCGUGGGGAGCAAACAGGAUUAGAUACCCUGGUAGUCCACGCUGUAAACGAUGAUUACUAGGUGUUGGGGGACCAAGGUCCUUCGGUGCCGUCGCAAACGCAUUA